GUGGUCAGGUGCAUGGACAUCGUGAGGAAUGUCUUCCCAGAUCUUUUAGUUAGGAGUAGUCGAAGAUCUGUGCUAAUUCCUGAGAAUAAAACAAUAGGAACAUCAGUAAUAAAUAUGAUUGGAAUUAUUACUAUGUGCCAGAGUUUUUUUUUCUCAUCUGCACAGAGGCCAAGGUUUUACAAUACUGAGCAGUGUUGCACAACCAGGGGUGCCCAUAAGCAGCAGCUCCAGGGAUUUUGAUUCAGGGGUUCUGGGGUGAAACCAAGCAUAUGUGUUUUCAACAUGUUCUCCACCUAAGUCUGCUUUAUACCAAAUAGUAGGAUUAACUGCUGGAUAAUUAGUAGCUGUUUGCUUUCCUGUCCAAGAUGUACUAUAAAAAAUAAUGAUUUCAUCUCUAUCUUUUCUUUGAAGAACAUGCUUUUUAUCUGCAUGUUUUCAUAUUUUCAGUUUUUAAAAAAAUCUAGUGACACACUAUUAUCUUACUCUUGAAGCCUUACAUCUGUUGGAAUUGUGGCCCUGAAAAAGAAAAGUAAAAGAUUACAGUUAUUUAUCUCAUGGAAUUUGGAGUUUAAAAUAGUAAACAUGAAGAGUAUAAAUAUAACUCUCCUUAGAAAUUUAUUAGAUCAUAUUACCACUGAUUUUUUUCAAUUAUUAAUUAUGAUGUUUUAGAAUUACUAUGGAAAAUUUUGCAUAUACUAAUUUCUCCUUGAUGGCUUAAUUGAUGGCUAAGAAUGAGGUCUUUGUGUCUCUCCAUUGUAUAAAGUGUCCUCUUGCUUCUCUACAUGCUAGCUUUAAAAAGUGCUUCAGGAUUACUUUGCCCUACUUAUGUAACUAAUCUAAUUCCUCAAACCAAAGCAAAGUGGCUAUGGAAAUAUAUCAUACGUGAUAUACUAGAGAAAUUUUAAAUCUAUGCAACACUCCCAAAUAAUAAUUUUCCUAGUAAAGUAAGGGUAUUCUAAAAUGAAUUAUUGUGACAGCUUAAGAAUAUUUUAGCUAAUUUCAGGAAAUAUGCCUUAGGGUAAUUAUUGUUGUUCUAUAAGAACAUGUAGAGUUAGAAAUAGUCCUUGAAAUCAGCAUUAUCAUUUGUUUUGCUUUCUUUUUGCAAAAAAAGAUGGCUUAAAAAUGAUUUUGUGUUAUUGAUUCAUAUAGUUUAUUUGGUCUAGGGUCAAAAGCUGUUAUCUUCCUAACGCAUUUGUUAGAAGAUGACUUUUGUAAUUGCCAAUAUUUUAGAAGCUAGACCAGUCUGAAGACAAAAUAAGAAUGGGUCUCCAAACCUGGAUUUCCAUGGAAUGAGAGCACAGAGAUGAAUCAACUAUGAGGUAGAUAGUCAUAAAUAUUGUUACUCAGUGGAGAUUAAGAAGGAAUGACUAAGAAGGAAUGCAAUUACUUAGAAAACUAAGGCCUCAAAAAUAUCUGCUGUUCAGGAAAGAAAAAUAAUUUUUUUUCUGGUUUUCUAGUUGAUUAGUUUAGUUUUUCUGUGGGCAAAAAAUAAUUAGGAACAUCCAUGAAAAAUGUGUAUACAGAAAUCCAAGUGCCUGUUCAGCAUUUCUACCUUCGCAAAUCAAGGUCCAUAUGUCUAGCAUGACCAACUCGUCCUAGAUUACUGUCCCAAUUUUAAAACUGAAGGACCCAAAUUCUGGGAUCCCCCUCAAUUUCAGGAAAACCAGGAUGGUUUGUCACUCUACACUUUUGUUUGCUCUCAAAAUAAAA